rnacentral:snRNA from 1 species
AUCGCUUCUCAGCCUUUUGGCUAAGAUCAAGUGUAGUAUCUGUUCUUAUCAGUUUAAUGUCUGAUACGUCCUCUAUCCAAGGACAAUAUAUUAAAUGGAUUUUUGGAGCAGGGAGUUGGAAUAGGAGCUUGCUCCAUCCACUCCACACGUCGAAAAAAAG